rnacentral:lncRNA from 1 species
GGGAUGGGAUGGGGAUGGGGAUGGGGAUGGGGAUGGUAAUAGGGAUGGGGAUGGGGACGGGGACGGGGACGGGGAUGGAGCCCUCAUCACCAGCCUGCAGCUCCCGUGGUGCCUGGCUCAGGCUCCUCACCCCUCCCAGUGUCGGGGAGCUCAGGAUGGGGGGCACAGGGCAGGACCCAUCCCUCCUGUGACCCCCUCUCCUCUCCCCAUCCAGGCUCCAACAACGGUGCCCACACACAGGAGCUGGGUGCGAGCAGCCUGCACAGCCUGGAGACCCUGGAGGCGCCGGGGGCCGCGGCGGGGCCCCCCCCGGCCUCCCCCAGCACCGAGGCUCCCGGCCGGCCGCGCGCCCCCCCGGAGUCGUACCUGGUGGGCAGCCAGCAGCAGUGGCUGUCGCUGCGGCUGCGCGGGGCCCGGCGCUGGCGUGUGCCCGGCCUGCCCUGCAUGGCCAAGAGCCCCGAGGGCUGAGCAGCAAUAAAGUGCCCGCGGGGCAGAGCCGGGCUCCGGGCCUCUGUCCCCUUCCCCGUGGGGGGGGGGCCCGGGGGGGCACCCGGGGGGGGGGGGGGGGGGGCAGCCCCUGCCCUGGCUGUGGGAUCCUCCCCGUGCCCGUGGGGGUGUCCGAUGGGGACACCCGGUGUGUGCUGAGCCCGGCCCCGGUCCCGCUGUGCCCGAGGGGCUCCCCCAAGCCCGGUGCGGCUCUGGCCGUGCUCGCCCGGUGCUGCCCGGGGCCGGUGCGGGGUGUGGGGGGGUUCCCCAGGAGGGGGUCGGGGUCUGCACCGCGCCGCUGCCCACCCCCGGGAUCCCUCCGUGCCCCCGCGUCUCGUCUCUUUCUCCUCUCCCCCCCCCGCCUUGGUGCCGCCGUGCCCGGUACCGGGGGCUCCCGGCCCCCCGGUGCUCCCCGCGCCCGGUGCCGGCGGGACUACGGCUCCCAUCAUGCCGCCGCCGCCGCCGCCGCCCCCGGUCACUUCCUCCGCGCGGCGGGGCGGGGCGGGGUCGGGCCGAGCCCAGCGCCCCUUCCCCGUCCCGGUCCCCGUCCCCAUCCCGGUCCCGGUCCCGGUCCCCGUCCCGGUGCCGCCUCGGGCCCGGCCCCGCCGCGAUGUCCGCCACCAGCGCGGCCGAGCUGGGCGCCGCCGACCGCGCCCCCUUCGCCACGGGCCCGUGCCCGGCGGGCGCCGCGGAGGACGGGGCCGAGGAGCUGGCGGGGGCCGGGGGGGCGCUGCCCUGGGCCCCCCGCGAGAAGCAGCUGCACGAGGCGCGCCUCAAGGCCAAGGCCAAGCGGCGGCUGCGGCGCGCCUCGUCCCGGGACUCGGCCCGAGAGUCGCUGUCCGAGGGCGCCGAGCCCGGCCCCGAGCCCGGCAGCCCCAAGGGCAGGGCCCACGACCGCAAGUCCCGCAUGGGCAAGGGCCGCGGGCUGCCCAAGA